GAAGGAGUAGUAAAACUAUUACAUAAGGUUGUCAACCUUAAGUCGUUGGUUUUGUCUAACCUCCUUCU
rnacentral:tRNA from 1 species